GGCUUUUGUUUUACCGCCAACUGGUAAAGUGUUGUUCUUCUUUCUGGAGUCAGAGUUGGAUAACUCCAGUCCACUGGGUUUAAGCAGUGCAUAAGCGCUACAGGGCCGCUGUACGAGGCCGACGUGUCGAGUUAUCUGCCUUCAGGCCGAAGCGCUGGGUACACCCAGUCCAGUGGAGCUCUGCAACGGACGGGGGCGCUACUGCCUUGCGAAUCGCAGGGCCUUGACGCCUCAAAACAGGGAUGUGAACCAGAGGAGCAGUUCGGGAAGCAGUACCUACUGAUUCCUCGGGAAAAGAGGUAAGAUUGCGCGGCAGGAGCUAUUCGUUGCCACUGAGCGAAACUGCGCGUCUCUGGCGGUUACACUCGAAUUCGCGGUAGCUCCGACGCUGUACAGACUGGGAAAGUACAUAUAUAGCGUUAUGACAAAGCACAGGGGCACAGCUAAUGGAGACUCGUGCAUGCACCUGCCGGCAACCCGAGCGGAGCGCACGUGCUAGACGAUUGCAGUAUGGAUCUUCGUUCCAGACAGCACAGAAAAUUGUAGAGCGUUGCUCCAGAAGAAGUUGAGAAAGAUCUACGCUUUAGAGCGGACGGUGGCAGCUCUCUACAACCCUUCCGUCGAGAUGCUGAAAGCGCGAUGCUCCCGAUAUCGCCAUGGCUCCUGGGGGAGCGCCCAGCCCGCUACACGCCUCCGUACGCUCUCUUCACCACAGACGCGAUGCACUGACCUACUCACAUGGCAGUUGGUCGGAUCCGGCAUGCACCCUUGACAGACAAGGGUUUCAAGGGUGUUUUCGAUCUUGAUACGGGACAGGUGUGGGUAGAUGGUUUCGAUGCCGCAGUUCCAAGGCAUUUGUGAGCCUCGCUUCAGACGAGGGCAGGCUUGGUGCCACUUUGCGCGUCGCGUUUCCGGUCGAUGGUUCGCGUUCCAACGAUAUGUACCUUGUCUGCAUCCGGCGCUCAAAAUAGAUUCGGUAUAGUAUCCGUGAAUCAGAGAACAGGUGCCUGGGAGGCUCUGCGUCUCGCCAGCUGCCUUGCUGCUAAACAGAUCAACUCCGUGCUCUGCGAAGAAUGGAUAUGCGGCACCACUUGAACUUGCUACGACAGGGCUCUUAACUGUAUAGACACAAUGGAUCGCUGACUUUGAUAGAGACGCUGUCCGAGGGAUGUUCGCACGCGAUGUCCGUUCGACACCAAGUAGAUGCGCAGUGUCGCGGUGAACCUCGUUCCAACCUUGAUCGAGGAUCUGCGCGUACAUUUUCAGUGUCGUGCUUCUCAGCGCAUAUCUGGACCACAUAGAAGCGGCGCUCUUCCUAGACCAGUGCUCAAUAUGGGAUUCUGCGGCUGAUGAGCGUGCGGGUGCUCGCACUCUCGUGCCUCCAUCCCGUGCAGGAGAGACGGCUUCCUCUUCACACAGAAUGGAACGCACUGCCUCUGGUUCUGGAGAUUUGUGCAUUUUGGGACCCCUAGAGCCGGUCAUAGGCGUUCGUUCCGUGUUGUGGAUCAGGUACGUCACACAGUAAGUGUAGUUCGGGGUCUCAAACGGUGCGCUGGAACAACGUGCAUGGAUCAGAUGCGAAAACUCCACUGCGAAUUUUGCACCACAUGUUGCACGCUCAGAUCGAUGACGUCGUAUUCUGGGUCAGUCGCUACGAUGAUUCGGACGCCUUUAGGUCGUGGACAAUGCAUCAAGUCUCUUCGGGCGCCGCACUGACAGAAGUCGGCACCAGAAGCGAACUAAAGAACCACGCGGAUGCGGUGGCGCUGAUCGAGACACAUAUUUGUGGAUAGCGCUUGGGCGAUAGGGAUUGCCAUUCCGUAACGGUGAAGAGAUGAUACCAAGUACCGUUCGUCUGGCUACAAACCGAGACGGAAAUGGUAGUCUAGGGUUCUUCUGAGGCGCGUUUCUAUGUCUUUCAGUUCCGAUGAUGGGAGGUCCUUUCCAUGGCAACGUGCAUGUUGCCGAUAUUCCCCAAAAUCUCGCACGAGUGUCCAGCAGUGAUUUAUCUGCCACUGUUCGCUUGAUGAUCUGUCUGGUGCAGCAGAUACUGCAUGCAGAUUAUAUGUACAUGUCGAUGAAACAAAAAAACUGACCCACGACCAUGGACGGUAAACCGA